rnacentral:rRNA from 1 species
UGAGGAAUAUUGGUCAAUGGAAGGAAUUCUGAACCAGCCAUGCCGCGUGCAGGAUGACGGCUCUAUGAGUUGUAAACUGCUUUUGUACGAGGGUAACCACAGGUACGUGUACCUGUCUGAAAGUAUCGUACGAAUAAGGGUCGGCUAACUCCGUGCCAGCAGCCGCGGUAAUACGGAGGACCCGAGCGUUAUCCGGAUUUAUUGGGUUUAAAGGGUGCGUAGGCUGUUAUAUAAGUUAGAGGUGAAAUUCCACAGCUUAACUGUGGCGCUGCCUCUAAUACUGUAUGACUUGAGAUUGGUUGCAGCUGGCGGAAUGUGUGGUGUAGCGGUGAAAUGCAUAGAUAUCACACAGAACACCGAUUGCGAAGGCAGCUAGCUAAGCCAUAUCUGACGCUGAGGCACGAAAGCGUGGGGAGCAAACAGG